UCAAGCAGAAGCUAUGGCUCGUGCUGACAUGCUGAGAUUCCAGCCUGAGGUACUUGUUCAGUCACAUUUCUCAUCAUUUGAACUUUGUCCAAAAAUAACGAGAUGGAAAAUUGUUCUCUCUCUCUAAUAGAAGCAAAUAAGAAAAUUUUGGUAGGAUGGAAAUCUAAGUUUCUAACUCUUGGAGCUUUAUAAAAUUAGAGCUGAUGGAUUAGAUUGUUUCUGUUCAGUUUAUCCUGGUUACUUUGUUAGGACAUGCAUUAGUCAUGAAUGGUUGGUCAGUCAGGUUGACUGCUAGAGAUAUCUUGAUUAGUGUUUUAAACUUUGGCAAGCCUGUCUGAUUGGUCGUAUGUUUUUGGGUUGGGGAGCUUAUGUAUCAGAUACAUUGUGUGUGUGUGUGUGUGUGCGGAAAUUUCUAAAGUUUUAGUAGUUUUAUUAAAAUUGUGUGUGUGUGUGUGUGU
rnacentral:misc_RNA from 1 species